rnacentral:rRNA from 1 species
AGGACGAACGCUGGCGGCGUGCUUAACACAUGCAAGUCGAGCGGUAAGGCCUUUCGGGGUACACGAGCGGCGAACGGGUGAGUAACACGUGGGUGAUCUGCCCUGCACUCUGGGAUAAGCCUGGGAAACUGGGUCUAAUACCGGAUAUGACCUGCUCUCGCAUGGGGGGUGGGUGGAAAGUAUUUAGUCGGUGCGAGGAGUCGGGCCCGCGGCCUAUCGAGUCUUUGGUUGGGUAGGGUAAUCGGACCUACCGAAGGCGACGGACGGGUAGCCGACCUGAGGAGGGUCGACCGGCCACACGUGGGACUGAGACCGACGGCCCAGACCUCCGUACGGGAGCAGCAGGUGGGAAUAGUUGCAACGAAGUGGGCGACAAGCCUGAUGACAGCCGACGCCGGCGUGGAGGAUGGAACGGGUCCGUUUACGGGGUUUAC